rnacentral:rRNA from 1 species
AUUGAACGCUGGCGGCAAGCCUAACACAUGCAAGUCGAACGAGUGGCGGACGGGUGAGUAAUGUCUGGGAAACUGCCUGAUGGAGGGGGAUAACUACUGGAAACGGUAGCUAAUACCGCAUACCAUCGGAUGUGCCCAGAUGGGCUUAGCUAGUAGGUGGGGUAACGGCUCACCUAGGCGACGAGCCCUAGAUGGUCUGAUAGGAGGACCAGCCACACUGGAACUGAGACACGGUCCAGACUCCUACGGGAGGCAGCAGUGGGGAAUAUUGCACAAUGGGCGAAAGCCUGAUGCAGCCAUGCCGCGUGUAUGAAGAAGGCCUUCGGGUUGUAAAGUACUUUCAGCGGGGAGGCGUUACCCGCAGAAGAAGCACCGGCUAACUCCGUGCCAGCAGCCGCGGUAAUUC